AAUACGAAGCGGGGAUAGGACAUACAUGUAUAGGCGUACUCAGGUUUCUUAUGAAUAUGUAAAAAACAAUGUUCUAUAUAUAUUUCGAAAGUUUGAUGGUUGUGUGUGCGUGUUGGUAGAGCAUAGACUCCCUGCCCACCCAGCGCUGCUUACUUGCAUUUUAUAACUUUCAGAAAUCUUUGUUU